UACGGAGGAUGCAAGCGUUAUCCGGAAUGAUUGGGCGUAAAGCGUCCGCAGGUGGCUGUGUAAGUCUGCUGUCAAAGAGCGAAGCUCAACUUCGUAAAGGCAGUGGAAACUACACGGCUAGAGUGCGUUCGGGGCAGAGGGAAUUCCUGGUGUAGCGGUGAAAUGCGUAGAUAUCAAGAGGAACACCUGCGGCGAAGGCGGGUUGCUGGGCUGACACUGACGCUGAGGCGCGAAAGCUAGGGGAGCGAACGGG
rnacentral:rRNA from 1 species